rnacentral:tRNA from 1 species
GGGGGUAUAGUAUAACGGGAUUACCUUUGCCUUGCACGUAAAUGAUUGGAGUUCGAUUCUCCAUACCUCCACCA